rnacentral:rRNA from 1 species
AUAAGAGUAAACCCGUCUCUGUGGCAAAAGAGUGGGAAGACCUUGCAGUAGGGGUGAAAAGCCAAACGAGCCUAGUGAUAGCUGGUUGCUCAACAAACGAAUUUUAGUUCGACUUUAAGCUACUACCCUAAACUAAAACCCCCUUACAGCCUAAAGACUACUCAACGAAGGUACACCUCCAUUGAGAAGGGAUACAACCCAUAUUGGAGAGAAAGAAAACACCAUUUAACCAGUAGGCCUUAAAGCCGCCACCAAUAAUAAAAGCGUCACAGCACAAAACAAUAAAUACCUAAAACCCAGACGAUCUCCCAACAACACAUUGAGCCAAACUAUACUUAUAGAUGAACUUAUGCUAAAACUAGUAACCAGAAACAUUCUCUUCCGCACACCUGUAACCCAGAAAUAGAAAGACUGCUGGAAUUUAACAGACCACAACAGGCAUAACAUAACACGUACCACCCACUGUUGAACCAACACAGGAGUGCCACCAAGACAGAUUAAAAGUUAUAAAAGGAACUCAGCAAAACUUGUCCCAACUGUUUACCAAAAACAUAGCCUUUAGCUAGCACAAGUAUUAAAGGUCCCGCCUGCCCAGUG